AGAGUUUGAUCCUGGCUCAGGACGAACGCUGGCGGUGUGCUUCACACAUGCAAGUCGAGCGAAUGAAGAAGGUAGCUUGCUACUUUUGGAUUUAGCGGCGGACGGGUGAGUAAUAUAUAGGAAUCUGCCCUAGAGCGGGGAACAACAGACCGAAAGGUUUGCUAAUGCCCCAUAGGUACGCAGUCUUCGGAUUGUUUAUUAAAGGAGUAAUCCACUCUAGGAUGAGCCUGUAUCCGAUUAGCUAGUUGGCGGGGUAAAGGCCCACCAAGGCUACGAUCGGUAGUUGGUCUGAGAGGAUGAUCAGCCACAAUGGGACUGAGACACGGCCCAUACUCCUACGGGAGGCAGCAGUGGGGAAUUUUACACAAUGGGGGAAACCCUGAUGUAGCGACACCGCGUGAACGAAGAAGCCUUUUGGGGUGUAAAGUUCUGUCGGCUGGAACGAAAAAAAUGACGGUACCAGCAAAGGAAGCAUCGGCUAACUACGUGCCAGCAGCCGCGGUAAGACGUAGGAUGCAAGCGUUGUCCGGAUUUAUUGGGCGUAAAGAGUUCGUAGGCGGUUAUUUAAGUCUGGUGUUAAAUACUGUGGCCCAACCACAGAACUGCAUUGGAUACUGGAUGACUUGAGUGCGGUAGAGGCGGGUGGAAUUCCCAGUGUAGCGGUGAAAUGCGUAGA
rnacentral:rRNA from 1 species